CUUUGCUUCACCAAAGAGAGCUUUGGUCACACUGAUCGAGAAGGGCGUUGCCUUCGAGACCAUCCCCGUCGAUCUCAUGAAAGGAGAACACAAGCAGCCUGCUUAUCUCGCUCUACAGGUUCCUUCCUUCUUCUUCUUCUUCCUUCAUCUUCUCUGAUUUCUUCCUUUUUUCUCCGAUUCUGAUGGUUUCUUGAUUCUUCUUCCUAUGCAGCCUUUUGGUACUGUUCCUGCUGUUGUUGACGGUGACUACAAAAUCUUCGGUAAGAUCUUUAAGAAAAUUUCAGUAUCUGUUUUGAUUGUUUCUAUAAUAAGGUCAAUUUCGUCACAGAACAACCAAGUUCUGUUUUAGGUCAAGUUCUAUAGUUAUGAUUUGUGUUGGCUCAUGUUUGUUUUGGUUGUAUGUAUCUAUAGUGAUGCUAAGAGAUGGUUUUUGAUCUUUUGACAGAGUCCCGUGCGGUGAUGAGGUACGUAGCUGAGAAGUACAGGUCACAAGGACCUGAUCUUUUGGGGAAAACCGUUGAAGACAGAGGUCAAGUUGAACAAUGGCUUGAUGUGGAAGCGACCACUUACCACCCACCGCUAUUGAACUUAACGCUUCACAUAAUGUUCGCAUCAGUCAUGGGAUUCCCAUCUGAUGAGAAGCUGAUCAAGGAGAGUGAAGAGAAGCUUGCGGGUGUUCUUGAUGUCUACGAGGCACAUCUCUCAAAGAGCAAGUACUUGGCCGGUGACUUCGUGAGCUUGGCUGAUUUGGCUCACCUCCCGUUCACUGAUUACUUGGUUGGUCCGAUUGGGAAAGCUUACAUGAUCAAAGAUAGGAAACACGUGAGCGCGUGGUGGGAUGAUAUUAGCAGCCGUCCUGCGUGGAAGGAGACUGUUGCCAAGUAUUCAUUCCCAGCUUAAGAUGUGUUCAUCUUCUUGGUGAUGUGGUUUGUGUUUUAUGAGAGGUUUAAUAAAAGUGGAACUAAAUGUACCUCUUAAUGUAAUGUUGCCACCUCUGUGUUCUCUUUCCUUUUGUAGUUUAAUAAGUAUCUUUAUGGCUUUGUGAGGCUUUCAAUUUUAAGGAAAUGAUCUUUUCCCCUAGUUCUACUACUUGAAUGAUUUAACUAGCUUAAGAAAAUUAAUUAUGAAUGAAAGGUCGGAUUAGCGCGCGAGACGGGAGACCUAGUCGAUGGAAUCUAUCUUAUUGAUUGCAUAUCGACUCUCAAUAAUGGAUAGGUACUGAAGUAUGAAAUAAUUGAUGAUACCUUCAAACUAGUUUGCGGUUUAGGUUGGAACAUGGUCUGAUAACAAAAGAACUUCCACAACUAUAAAAUCUAGGUUGGCUUCUUUUACUCGGCCUUUUGAUUCAUAACCAAAGAUUCUUGGUUUUGUGACCAAGACCAUUCGAAUAUUGGAAGAAGUGACUGAUCUAGCAAGAAACACUCUACCAGUAAAACAAAGUAGAGAGAGGUACCCUAAGAAUAAAAUCUUGAUUUUCAUGAAGCUUUUUGAGAGAAGCCUCUCAGCUUAUUUAUGGAUAAUAAAGUGCAUCAUCAGACGAUACACUGAUUUUUUUUUAACAUCUCUACCAAAUUUGACAAAAGUGAAAGAAAAAAGGUUUAUUGGUCUUUCGGGGCCAAUGAUGGAUAGUAUAAAUUAAAGUAUAGACACUAUAAUGAAAGUUGGUUUCGAUAAUUAGAUCACUAAUUUUUGUUUAAGGCAUCUAAUAAUUGCGUUGAUAAAGUAAUGUUAUCUGUCAGAACAUAAAUUACAAAAAUAAGAGGGCUCAUUCGAUCACGUUUUAUAAAUACUUUCUUGUACCCACCAACCUAAUUUUAAUCGGCUAACUUAGGUUUUCCAUUGCCUGAUCAUUUUUUUUUUAUAACCAAAACAAAACAAAGUGUAAUCAAGUCUCGUAACUAUUUUAUUAAAAUGUGUUGAUUCAAAAAAGUGAGAAUCAUUUUGGCAUCUUAUUACAACAAAGUGGGGAAUAUCUUUAAUCAAAUAUACUUACAACAAGUGGUCUCUCUCUUUAUUAGGCUUAUUAAAAAUGAAUAAAUAACAUUGUUAAAAAACACACACAUGUAAUUCAUAAUUUGAUGGGACGUUGGAAAUUUCGUGCUGAGAAAAGUCAAAUAUGACGUGAAACGUUGCCGCCACUAGCUAGCCGCCACCUAUACCGACACGUAUAAAUAAUAAUAUACUAAUAAGUGCGACUGCGUUUAGCCUACUACCGCAAACGCAGCUAACCAGAUCCCUUUUUCUCUCUCUUUUCUUUCCCUCUAUAAAAUCGCGUCCUGCUAUAGUGAGUUUAGAAAGAAACUGAUAGUAGAAAAAAAAAGAGAGAAGAAAAAUGGUGUUGACAAUCUAUGCUCCUUUAUUCGCUUCUUCAAAGAGAGCUGUUGUGACAUUGGUGGAGAAGGGAGUAUCAUUCGAAACUGUCAAUGUCGAUCUCAUGAAAGGAGAACAGAGACAGCCUGAGUAUCUCGCGAUUCAGGUUCCGAUUUUCCCUCUUUUUUACUAAAUGUUUCUUUUUUUCCGGUGACUAUUUCCGAUCAUGAUCCCUUUUUCCGAUCGAUGCAGCCUUUCGGUAAAAUCCCAGUCCUCGUCGACGGAGACUACAAAAUCUUCGGUACACUUCUUCUCUUUUAAGCUACUACUACACGAGUCAUGAUCUGAUAAUGGAUCUGAUCAUUUGCGAUCAUGAUCAAUGAAUCACAUGAUCUUUGAGAUUUUUUUGAUUGUUUGGAAAAGAUUGUUUAGGUAAAUGAGUGUUGAAGAGAUUUCGAUUUGUGUUGCAGAGUCGCGUGCGAUCAUGAGGUAUAUAGCAGAGAAGUAUAGAUCACAAGGACCUGAUCUUUUGGGGAAGACUAUUGAAGAGAGAGGACAAGUAGAGCAAUGGUUAGACGUUGAGGCUACAAGUUACCAUCCACCACUAUUGGCUUUAACGCUCAACAUUGUCUUUGCACCACUUAUGGGUUUCCCUGCUGAUGAGAAAGUUAUUAAGGAGAGUGAAGAGAAGCUUGCAGAAGUGCUUGAUGUCUAUGAAGCUCAGCUUUCUAAGAACGAAUACUUGGCUGGUGAUUUUGUGAGUCUAGCUGAUUUGGCUCACCUUCCUUUCACCGAGUAUCUUGUUGGUCCUAUUGGGAAGGCUCAUUUGAUCAAAGAUAGGAAGCAUGUUAGCGCUUGGUGGGAUAAGAUUAGUAGCCGUGCUGCGUGGAAGGAGGUUUCCGCUAAGUACUCACUACCUGUUUAAACAAGGAGAUGUUGACUUGGGGGGUUUGUGUGAGCUUUGUGUUCUU
rnacentral:lncRNA from 1 species